UGUGCAAAUGAUGAUACGCUAGACAGGGACUCAGCACUUCGAAAGGAGAAUGUUGAUUUGUCUAAUGGGAAAACUCUCUGAUGCAUA